rnacentral:rRNA from 1 species
UGGGGAAUAUUGCACAAUGGGCGCAAGCCUGAUGCAGCCAUGCCGCGUGUAUGAAGAAGGCCUUCGGGUUGUAAAGUACUUUCAGUCGGGAGGAAGGUGGUAAGGUUAAUAACCUUGGCAAUUGACGUUACCGACAGAAGAAGCACCGGCUAACUCCGUGCCAGCAGCCGCGGUAAUACGGAGGGUGCAAGCGUUAAUCGGAAUUACUGGGCGUAAAGCGCACGCAGGCGGUUGAUUGAGUCAGAUGUGAAAUCCCCGGGCUUAACCCGGGAAAUGCAUCUGAUACUGGUCAGCUAGAGUCUUGUAGAGGGGGGUAGAAUUCCAUGUGUAGCGGUGAAAUGCGUAGAGAUGUGGAGGAAUACCGGUGGCGAAGGCGGCCCCCUGGACAAAGACUGACGCUCAGGUGCGAAAGCGUGGGGGGCAAACAGG